CACCCCACUCUCAGAUGUGCACCGUGAGUUAGGCAAGAGCCAGAGGCAACAGCAGUGUUGAUGCAAGUUGUUAGCUUUUGUAGCUGAAAGGCUGAGGGGAAAACAGCAGUGUAGCAAAGAAAAAAAACCCUCUUACUUGGAUGGGAAGAGCUAAUAGUUGUCCUCAAGUAAAGCACUUGGCUCAUAUUAUGGCACUGUCACUAGCAGCCUGAGAGGAGAGGCAGGACAGAGUUCUCACAAGCCCCAUCCUUGCACCAUCCCUUAUUUUAAGUUCUCUCUACCAGUUCCACCUGCCGCAGGAUUGAGUGAGCACCUACAGCUGUCCCAGCUCCUUCCUUCCAUCGUCAGCCAAAAUGGACAUGGUCAUCUACACAGUGGACAAGAUUUUAAUUGAAGCAGUUGCUGUCUCCCCACUGUACAUCUGUGCCACUGGCCAUGGGAGUGAGGGGGGAGCAGAAGCUGCCUACCAGGGACUUCAGCUUCCCGUGCAGGCAGGGAGAAGGUGAAGAAAGUUUCUCCUUCGCCCUCCACUUUGAACUUGCCCUAUGCAAGUGUGGCUAAACAAGAACAAGAGGAUCUUGUUAUUCCAACAUAUGACUCUAGAAACAAAGCGAGUCUGACAUGUUCCUACCUCUCUCAUACUGCAGAUGAUUUAAAGACCGUAUCAGUCUCUGCCCCCCCGUCGUGCUUGUGCAAGUGUUUGUGGGGCUGCUUAGUAAAGCAGUGACUGAAACAGCAGAGUCUAAAGAAGUGCUUUGAAAACCAAAAAAAAAAAAAAAGAGUGAUUGUCCACAGAACAUUUGUGUCCAUUGUACUGGCUCAUAGAGCUGCUGGAAUAAGCAGAAAGACAGCGAUCUUCAGCCAGCUUUCCCAAGAUAAAAUGUUUGCUAGUCUCCACCAUUGUUGAACUGUCAGAGUCACAGUUAAUAGGAAAAAUGCUCCUUUCAUUUCAUGUGUGACACAGAGACGCGGGCUUCAAGACCCUGCUUGGUGACUCUCAGGGAAUCCUGCAAGCUCCACAGAGCCUCCAAAAAGCAGCUUCCCUGACUGAGACAGCCUUUUGUGACCGGCACUACAGUUUGGAGAAAGAGGGUAGUGAAAGACUGGAUGAAAAAGAUUUAAACCACCUUUUCCCUCGUUAGUUACAUCCAUGUAAUUAUAGCAAAGCACUGGGUGGGUACCACUUUGCCACGCACCUGAAACAUUUUUUGCUUGACAGUGCACUGAUAGUUUAGUAACACAACCCCCACUGUGACUGACAGUUGGUUUUGGACUAAAUCACAUAAAACUGAAUAGGAGAUGGUGGCUAUUGGAUAGUUCAGCCAAAGUCUAUUUGGCAGAGUAUAUUAAACUUCAUGAAGCUCUGCAUUAUUGCACGGCUCCAUGUGAUGCUGCUAUCUGCAGCACAGGUUUACCCUGAGCUUGGCUACUAGGAGUAGCCAAAGGCAGCGGGGCAGAAAAGCAGAGAAUCACUGAAAAAGUUUUAUUUAGCUACAACAAAGAUUACAUGUGUGCCAAACACAUCAAUAUGGCAGAUGACCUGACAGAAUUGGUUGUUAAUUCAGUCUUCUUAAGAAAGUUGUUCCUGGGGUAAGAGCUCAAACCUCAGCUCACUCAAAAGAAAAUUAUUCUGGAGUGUUGUCUUUAUCUUUGACACUUUGGGAAGGCAAAAUGAAUAAAUUAAUACUGUUACUUCAACACUUUUAUCUGUUUUACUCAGUGUUUUCCAAGACCCAGUUCAAUGCCAUCCGAAUCUGUAAAUUACUGAAAUGGGAAGCAUUUAAGGCUGUUGACUGGACAAAGAGCAAAUAUCCUCUUUCCGUUGAAGAAGCCAAAUCUGAAAUCGCAUUAAUAUAAACUUCAGCCCAGAAUCACAGAUGAGCCUAGUCAUCUAUCACCAGGGAGAGAUGAGAAAAUAAAACAGAACAGUGAGAAGAGACUGGAUGGAAAUGUAAGUCCUGCCAUCUGACCUCCACCAGCAGAGUACAACAUAAUGGGAGCUACUGCAUAAGCUUUCCAAACCAAGUUUGUGCUCUUCCCAAGGGUGACAAGAUUGCAAGAUUAUUGCUCCCAGCUGACCUGCUCAGACUCCGGGGAAAGAGUAGAUCAUCAUACCACCUCUACGAGCAUGUUUUACUCCAGGCAUCUAGACCAGUUGCAAUUCAAGGUAAUUAAAAGUAGGAGUCCAAAAUUCAAUUACUUUGUUCAGAAUUAAGCAUCAAGUGCUUGGAAUAAUUUAGGGUAGGCAAGAUACUAGCCCAAGGCUGACAGGUAUAACACAGGUGGUACAGGAGAGCUGUGCCCUUCUGCUGCAGCAGCUGCCAGUUAGGUGACAUGAGGUUGUCUCAAAUAGUGCUACACACCUAUGUUCAGGCAACUGAUCUGAGAGCCUAAUUUCUCUGUAUAGCUCACAGGAGGAUGUAGGCACCUGCAUUAGCUAGUGCAGGGUGCUGAAACUAGACAAUGUGAUUACAGCCCUCAAAGGGAGUUUAUAGAGGCAGGCAGCCUUGCCUGUUCACCCUUGCAGAUACACAUACUCUCAGCGUAAGUGACCCAUCAUCCCUGCCAUGAAGACUAACAUGGGAUUGGGUCUACUUUUGGGGAAUGGUGUGGUCCUUUUCCCUCUGCUGUCACCUGUUGCUCCCCAUGAGGAAACUUUGCUGAAGUGAGGUGAUGCCAAAACUUUGCCUGAUGAAGAGCCUGCAGCUUCAGACUGUCUUAAUCCAGGCUGGUGUCUCUUACCUCGUCCGCUUGGUCUUUCUUCUGAUGCCUAAACAAUUCACACAUGAUGGAGGAGAGAUUUGUGAAGAGAAUUGGGGAAAAUCCCACCCUUGAAAAAAUACUAGCAUGAUGGAAAGGGGAUAUCUGUAGUAUAUGAGCUCUGGCAGGCUCAAAUGUCCAAUUUGAGUGAAGCAAAAUCAGGGUUUGCAGCAUGGGUCUCUAUCUUCCAGGUGAGUGUCCUAAUAACCUCUAGGUUGCUGGCUUCUCUAGAGUCACCUUAGAACACUUGUUUCAUCCUGAUACAAAGAGGGAAAUUUCUGAAUUUUUGGCAGGAUAGUAAAACCACCCAGCUACAGUCUCAAGGCAUGCACCCUCUCUUCAUGGGAGGUGAGCAAUCACACUCCAAGCCGUUCCCUCAGGUACUGGCGCUGCUCCAUGGCCUGAUAAGGAGGGAUAAUAGGUCUAUGGCCCCACCCCCUGCCUUUGCAUUUUUGACAUCCUACUUCCCAAAUCUGAGUGACAACAAAGGCUAGUGCUGUACUUCUUGGGCUGCCUAGGACACCCACAAGGCAGCCUGUCAGGUCCUGCAUGAAUGCCAAGGCUUGGCUGAGAGCAGAUCCUCCACAAACUGCUUGGGAGACUCAAAUGCACUCACUUUUGUUUCUAACCACUGACAACAUCGCCCUGGGCUACCUGAACUACUCCAGGGUCCAAAGUAUCCUUUCUACCCUACCAUUCCUCUCCUGUGCAACAUGUCCCUUACAGAUACUGGCCAAACCUCACCUGUUGGAGGGGUAGGAAGGAGGAGGAAAUUAAACAGACGUUGAGAAGGCUCAGGCAAAGCGGAAAUAUAAUGACUGCUCUAGCCAGUGCUGGCAAUCACUGCACGAACUUCCCCGUGCAGCACUGCCAACGCAGCUCGCUCCUGACUGCGACACACCUGCUUGCUGCAAGCUGCGCUGCUCCCUGCCAGGGCUGCCCACCGCACCGGCUGCCUGCCGCGGCGGCGGAGGGGAAUCAAACAACCCCCUGCACUCCACUUUGAUAUGCAAAGGGCCAAAUUUAGACCCACAGCUCUCAGUCUAGACCUGUAGUUCUCAGUCCUGGUGGAGUAACCCACCCCUUCACAUCCUUAUUGCAUGUGUACGUGCUAUAUGCCAAACCAGGAAGUGGCACUUUUCUGUCCAUAGAAUCCUCUACGUGAUUUGCAGAACAACAGUGAGCUCAUUUUAGGAGAAUUCAUUGCUGGAAAAUGAUUUUCAGUGAAUGUUUUAUUAAUCAACACAUGCCAAAUCAUAUCUGCAGGGAAAAACAACAACAACAACAAAAUGAACACCACCACCAAAAAAAAAAACCCCACACCCCAAACAACAACAACAAAAACCCAACAAAAUAAAACAAAACUAAAUCCACCAACUAAAAUAAAGCAGAAUAAAAAUAGUAGAACAAUUAUUGCUUUAAAAUUCUGAUUGCCUAUAAAUUAUAACUCUAUUCAGCUUCAUGACAAUUUAUGUUUUCAUUUAUGAAAACAUUCUUGUUAUUAACUUUCAAUCUUGUUUACUGGGGGAAGUAGGAAUACACCAAGCAGGCAAAUCAUUUUAAACCAUGUCUUGAAAACCUAGGGUUAUGGCACAUGGGACACAUUUAUUGCCACUGUUUUAGAGCACAUGAUAAGUUUAAAAUGGGGCCCUAUUUCAAAAGGCAGGGGUUGGUUAGGACAAGGCAACUUACCGUGACCGCAGUUCCUAAUGUAAAAGUGUCAAUGUGCUUGGUAUAUUCAUAAUGUGUUUAUUCUCAUUACAGUUUUCAAUUUGUCAGUGUUUUACUGGCAUGCAACCACAGAGCAUAGACUGCUAUUGCUGGUUAACCUUGUUAUUGCAGACAAGUUACAAGUCCUGACAAGACUUUGAUAACUGUGCAUACUUAUUUUAAGCCAUACACGAGGAAAGGGUAGGAGGUUCAAAGUAAGUUAUGCUUUCCUGUGUGAGUCCCCAUAUGAUCACUCAAAGUUACUGUAAAUAUAAAAGCAAAAGUGUCUGAUUGCCAUUUUGUCACUAUGACACUAGGCAAGAAGGUAAUAAAAAAACAGAAUCAAACAGGAGGCUGUAAAACCCUGGAGCCUCAAUCCUCUAAAGGAAACGUGUGGAUUUAGUCACCUGUACAGGUGUUUGAAGGAUGGAGGACUCCUUCACUUGCAAAUAAUCUCUCCUGGAAUCUAUAUCCCAGAAGAAACAGUGACCAAACAGGUAAAGAGUGGAAAUUACUAUUUCUUAUGGAGAAAAUAUGCUUUUUUCCUCCUCCUCCUCUUUCUCUAAACAUGUUUACUGCCUAUUCAUCUGUCUCAGCCCCUUGUUAUAUCCUGUUGUAGACUUUGAUUAUAAACUUGCUGGGUCAGAAUAAUCUUUUUCCUAUUAAUUCAACAAAAACAAAACAGCUUGCAAAAAAUAUCAUCCGGCCUUGAUCCCUGACUGAGGCCACAUAUCACUGCUGGAAUGCAAAAAUAGUUUUACUAUUCAACCAAAUGCUCCACAGCAGUUAAAUAAUAAAUAUACAGUGGUGGAGAAAAAAAUAAAUUAAAAGUUUAGGCAGCUCCUGGAAGCGAUUUCACAGAUCAUGGUAAAUCAGCUAACGCUCUUACAGCUUCCCAAAAAGAGACACCUAAAUAAAAUUGUUUUGAUAUUCAGAGACAUUGGCCAUGUGCUGUUCUUUAAAAGCGAGGAUUGUGGACAUGCAGCCCUGCAAUUAAAAGCUUCAUUUCCUUUUCACAUUUUGUCUUCUAAAGUACAAAGCCACCAAAGACUGUGGAAAAAAAUUAAAGGAAUAAAAACCACGAGAAAAGGUCUU